GCCGAGCCGCACACGGCAUUCGAAAACAAAAAAAAAAUUAACCGUCGGCUAACCCUGCGAGAUCUCGUCGUCGCACGCACGCAGCACACACGCGAGUCCGCGAAAAACCGUUUUCAUCCGGCGCGCGCGUCCUCACCUCCGAACACACCGCCCGACCGCCGUCGCCGCCGGUGUUUCCAUUCGAACAACACGUCCGUCGUCGUCGCGUUCCCGACCGACGGGCCGCUACGCACGGCAACCCGACGACACCGCCCGAGCGCAACAGGCCGCCGACAUCGGACAACCGCCGCGGGCGCGACGCACAUCCAGAGCCCGGACGGACGGACGGACACGGACUAACGGCGCGCGCGUGCCCGUCAUAACGUACGUGCCGGCGAACACGGAACAACGUGCGCACACGCGUCCGGCAGCAGAUCAACGGUUGUGCGCCGUCCCGUCGUAUCCCGCGACCCGGACACAUAACCCUGCAGAAAAGGAUUAACUUGAAGUAGCGGAAUGCAGAAUGUUUUAAGGAGGAUAGCGGCCACAUUGGUUAUUUUAUGUCCUGUGGUUGUCUUUUCAAUACCGGAAUCGGCCAUUCAAGCAUCAUCAAUCAAAUCCAGUCAAACUGAACAAGACAACGCCGAUUACUCGAGAUCUUUCGACGAAGAUCAAGAGGAAAAACGAGCAUGGCGAGAUUUGCAAACAGCUGGUUGGGGCAAACGAGGGUGGCAAAAUUUGAAGACCACGUGGGGCAAGCGAGCACAGGACUGGCAAAACUUGCACUCGUCGUGGGGUAAGCGACAAGGCUGGCAAAAGUUGCACGGAGGAUGGGGAAAACGCGGGUGGAAAGACAUGCAAUCUGCGGGCUGGGGCAAGAGAUUCAAUGAUCAGCCAAUUGGACAACUGUCUCAGUUCGAUGAGUAUUUAGACAAGUAUGAAGAUGAAAAUCCAAACUUAGCAGACAAACGAUCAUGGGACAAUUUGCAAGGAUCUUGGGGCAAGAGAGCCGCUGAUUGGACAAGCUUUAGAGGUAAGCCGGUUCGUGGGGGAAAAGAAAUCCCGUGGACUACAUGAACGAGUACUCGGGAUAUGGAGACAACGAUAAUUACAAAGCUUAUAUCUUUCCGCCAGGUUACAAUAGUUAUUUACCCAACUUCCCAACGGAAUCCGAAAAUUGAGACGUCGAUUCUCAAUUUUUGAGAGUACUCCCACAAAAAAUUAUUUACUAUUAGCCCUAAAUUUACAAACUAUAUACUUAUAUUGGAUUGUGAAAUAUAUAAUAUAUA